CCACUUCUCGCCUACUCCACUCCACACUAUCACAAUUCUCCGCAUUCCUCUGUGUCUCGACGCCUCAACCUCGGCCACACUCCGGUCAAGCGGUUACGCCCUCACACCCUCUGGCCCUACCCUCGCAUCUUAGUCCGCUCGGUUUCUGCUUCUCCGUCCUCCGACGCCAACGACCUCGCUCCUCCCCGUCUCCCUCACAAUCUCUGGCCCUCAGCCAGUCAGGACCUGCUAGGCGGCCCGUCUUCUCCGGCGAUUCAGGUGGAUUCUCCUCGUGGUUGUCUUCGGCGUAUCCCGGUGGACCUGGGGCAGAAACCUAGACGGCCGGUUAGGGGUUUUCCUCUCUUUUUGAUCAUUCACAGAGAAAUAUCGGUCGAUUCCAUUUCGAAUGAUCUUGAUAAGUAUUUGCAUAUGGAUAUAUUUAUAUUUAUGUUUCUCUGUGUGCUUCAAAAGAGUUAUACUUCCUAAUCUUAGAUGUUCUUGCUACGAAUUCAGAUAUUAUAUAGCAAUAAUGUGUGCUUACUUUACAGUUUUGUAGAAUAUGGGUAAAUAUCACCGAAGGAUCACUGGGUUUUUUUAUGUAUGAACGGUAGAUUUGGGAUUCAAUAAUUCCCAAAUCGGAGCUAUAAAGUGCAAUCUGGAACAUGCAUGACCAUAUCUGUAAGAUCUGGAACCAAGAACUGGACAUGCACAGGAGCAAUUCUACUUGAGGAUUAUCACUUGGUGGAGAAGCUUGCUAAUUUUGAUUAUGAAAGGAUUCCAGAAUGUGUUGUACAUGCCAAGGGAGCAAGUGCCAAAGGUUUUUUUGAGUUCUCCACUGUUAUCUAUGAUUGCGGAAGCCCUGAAACCCUCCGGGAUCCCAGAAGCUUUGCAGUGAAGUUUUAUACCACAGGCUGAGUAAAAAUACCAUAGCAAAUGCAUGCUCACUAUUUCAGUUUCCACUUCAGCUAAGGAAGUUGAUGAGAGAGGUUAUCACACAUCCAUAACAGAACAACAUUUUAGACUCAGAUGUAAGGCACUACAUCAACACAACGUUUAAAACAACAAUAUGAGAAUGAUAUUAGGAAACAUUGUCCCAUGAAAUUCAGAAUGAUAGUAGGAAACAUCCACUAAGCCUGCCGUUUGUCAUCAGCUCACCUCCCUCCUGUAAAAGGCUCAUCUUUGGAGUUGUUCCCAAUUCUAAUCCUCAACACGUCUUCAAGCAAAUGUCUUCUUCCCCUUACUGGAUGCUUUCCCAAAUCUUCUUUGAAAGCUCAAGAAACGCUGGGCCAGUCUUCCCCUGCAGCCUCAUGGUUACGAUGGAUGCUACUCAUUUUCACUCUUUCCAAAACACAUAUAUAUAUAGGAAAGUUCAUUUUAAAAUUAUUAUUAAUUUUGAAGAUUUCAACAGUCAUUUCCCAUUUAAAUUCAUUUUGUGUUCACACAUGUAUUAAUGACUUGUAAUAAUAGUUUUAGUAUACGAAGAGCUUUUAAGCAACCUUUCAAGUUUUGACAUUUAAAUAUCAGUUUCAAGACAAAAGGAAUUAAAACGCCUGCAUUUUGUGUGGGGAAAAUUAUUAUA